ACUUACAUUCAUAUUUUAUAUACUUGUAAAUUAUAUAUUUAUUACUUUUUGCUAUUCAUUUGUACUUAUUUGAUGCUUCAGGUAUUGAAUUUCCCCUUUGGGGAUCAAUAAUGGCUGAUCUUAUCUUGUUAGAAAGUUAUGAAA